rnacentral:rRNA from 1 species
AGAGUUUGAUCCUGGCUCAGGAUGAACGUUGGCGGCGUGCCUAACACAUGCAAGUCGAACGGUGAUAGCAAUAUCAGAGUGGCGCACGGGUGAGUAACACGUAGCUUACCUGCCUCGAAGAGCGGGAUAACGUCUCGAAAGAGACGCUAAUACGGCAUAAGCUCACGGACUAUAGAGGUCUGGGAGAAAAGGGUUGAAAGACCGCUUCGAGAUGGGGCUGCGGCCCAUCAGCUAGUUGGUGAGGUAAAAGCUUACCAAGGCAACGACGGGUAGGGGGCCUGAGAGGGUGGUCCCCCACACUGGGACUGAGACACGGCCCAGACUCCUACGGGAGGCAGCAGUGAGGGAUAUUGCACAAUGGGGGAAACCCUGAUGCAGCGACGCCGCGUGGGUGACGAAGGGCUUCGGCUCGUAAAACCCUUUUCUGCGUGACGAGGACAAGGACGGUAGCGCAGGAAUAAGUCUCGGCUAACUACGUGCCAGCAGCCGCGGUAAAACGUAGGAGACAAACGUUAUCCGGAGUUACUGGGCGUAAAGGGCGUGCAGGCGGCUGACUAAGUCUGGCGUGAAAGGUCUCGGCUUAACCGGGAUAGGUCGUCGGAUACUGGUCGGCUCGAGGGCGGUAGAGGCGUGUGGAAUUCCGGGUGUAGUGGUGAAAUGCGUAGAGAUCCGGAGGAACACCAGUGGCGAAGGCGACACGCUGGGCCGCACCUGACGCUAAGACGCGACAGCAUGGGGAGCGAACGGGAUUAGAAACCCCGGUAGUCCAUGCCGUAAACGAUGCCAGCUGGGUGUUCGGUUCGCGAGAGCGAACGGGGUACCGAAGUCAACACGGUAAGCUGGCCGCCUGGGGAGUACGGUCGCAAGAUUAAAACUCAAAGGAAUUGACGGGGGCCCGCACAAGCAGCGGAGCGUGUGGUUUAAUUCGAGCCUACACGAAGAACCUUACCUGGGUUUGACAUGCAAGUAGUAGUGAAGCGAAAGCGGAACGACCUUCGGGAGCUUGCACAGGUGCUGCAUGGCUGUCGUCAGCUCGUGCCGUGAGGUGUUCGGUUAAGUCCGCAAACGAGCGCAACCCUCGGUGCCAGUUACACGUGUCUGGCGCGACUGCCCGUGAGAAACGGGAGGAAGGUGGGGAUGACGUCAAGUCAGCAUGGCCUUUAUAUCCAGGGCUACACACACGCUACAAUGGGCGGUACAAUGGGUUGCGAAGCCGCGAGGUGGAGCCAAUCCUGAAAGCCGUUCACAGUUCGGAUUGCAGGCUGCAACCCGCCUGCAUGAAGUCGGAGUUGCUAGUAACCGCAGGUCAGCUAUACUGCGGUGAAUACGUUCCCGGGCCUUGUACACACCGCCCGUCACGUCAUGGGAGCUGGUCACGCCUGAAGUCGGGGAGCUAACCGCAAGGAGGCAGCCGCCGAGGGCAGGGCCGGUGACUGGGACGAAGUCGUAACAAGGUA